GACGAACGCUGGCGGCGUGCUUAACACAUGCAAGUCGAACGGAAAGGCCCUGCUUUUGUGGGGUGCUCGAGUGGCGAACGUGUGAGUAACACGUGAGUAACCUGCCCUUGACUUUGGUAUAACUUCAGGAAACUGGGGCUAAUACCGGAUAGGAGCUCCUGCUGCAUGGUGGGGGUUGGAAAGUUUCGGCGGUUGGGGAUGGACUCGCGGCUUAUCAGCUUGUUGGUGGGGUAGUGGCUUACCAAGGCUUUGACGGGUAGCCGGCCUGAGAGGGUGACCGGCCACAUUGGGACUGAGAUACGGCCCAGACUCCUACGGGAGGAAGCAGUGGGGAAUAUUGAACAAUGGGCGGAAGCCUGAUGCAGCAACGCCGCGUGCGGGAUGACGGCCUUCGGGUUGUAACCCGCUUUCGCAUGUGACGAAGCGUGAGUGACGGUAAUGGGUAAAGAAGCACCGGCUAACUACGUG
rnacentral:rRNA from 1 species